ensembl:misc_RNA 7SK 7SK RNA
GGAUAUGAGGGUGAUCUAGCUGCUACAUCUGUACACCAUUGAUUUUCAAGGUUGAGUUUGCUGUUCUUGGUGUCUAGACUGGAUUUCUCUUCCUCCCUCUCCAUUUCAUGUGGCUUCCCUUCCAAAGCUGUGUGCUUGGUAGAAAAAGAUGACCACCCCUGAUAGAGGAGGACAGUUUCCUAGGUUAAGGGUGUAGGAGCAUCUGCCCUGCUCUACUAAGACCUCCAUGAUCUGGGCAUCAUGGUACUCACCUACAAUUUCAACACUCACGAGACUGAGAAAGGAGUAUUUCCAUGAGUUUGAGGCUGGGGUUAUACAUUGAGCUCAAGGCUAGGGUAAACUACAU